rnacentral:rRNA from 1 species
ACUGCAAGUCGAAACGGCUUUUUCUUUCACCGGGAGCUUGCUCCACCGAAAGAAAAGGAGUGGCGAACGGGUGAGUAACACGCUGGCGUAACCUGCCCAUCAGAAGGGGAUAACACUUGGAAACAGGUGCUAAUACCGUAUAACAAUAGAAACCGCAUGGUUUCUAUUUGAAAGGCGCUUUUGCGUCACUGGUGGAUGGACCCGCGGUGCAUUAGCUAGUUGGUGAGGUAACGGCUCACCAAGGCAACGAUGCAUAGCCGACCUGAGAGGGUGAUCGGCCACAUUGGGACUGAGACACGGCCCAAACUCCUACGGGAGGCAGCAGUAGGGAAUCUUCGGCAAUGGACGAAAGUCUGACCGAGCAACGCCGCGUGAGUGAAGAAGGUUUUCGGAUCGUAAAACUCUGUUGUUAGAGAAGAACAAGGAUGAGAGUAGAAUGUUCAUCCCUUGACGGUAUCUAACCAGAAAGCCACGGCUAACUACGUGCCAGCAGCCGCGGUAAUACGUAGGUGGCAAGCGUUGUCCGGAUUUAUUGGGCGUAAAGCGAGCGCAGGCGGUUUCUUAAGUCUGAUGUGAAAGCCCCCGGCUCAACCGGGGAGGGUCAUUGGAAACUGGGAAACUUGAGUGCAGAAGAGGAGAGUGGAAUUCCAUGUGUAGCGGUGAAAUGCGUAGAUAUAUGGAGGAACACCAGUGGCGAAGGCGGCUCUCUGGUCUGUAACUGACGCUGAGGCUCGAAAGCGUGGGGAGCAAACAGGAUUAGAUACCCUGGUAGUCCACGCCGUAAACGAUGAGUGCUAAGUGUUGGAGGGUUUCCGCCCUUCAGUGCUGCAGCUAACGCAUUAAGCACUCCGCCUGGGGAGUACGACCGCAAGGUUGAAACUCAAAGGAAUUGACGGGGGCCCGCACAAGCGGUGGAGCAU